rnacentral:tmRNA from 1 species
GGGAGCGAAUCAGAUUCGACGUUGGUGGUUGAAGCCGCACUGCAAGCCGUGGCGCCAAGACACGUUAAACUGGCAAAGCACAUAGGUGCAAAACCCAAUUUCCAACCCCUUCCGCUGGUAGCUUAGCCACCGGCUGAAGGGAGUAGAGGCCGAUAGCCCUCUACCGCUCCUGCAGGUUCGUCUCCCGGCACGAACUGCAACGAGUGUCAUAAAAAGCCAGGGUGCCCGCCGUCCACGCCGAUAAGACGGCGCCAAGUUCUGUCGGCUAGCGUGAUGUGAACCGAGCCCUCUGGGCUGCAUGACGUGAAACUUUUCAGAGAGCUAAGCUUGUAGAUGUGCGAGAUUCGAAACUAGCGGACCCGGGGGGCAGGUCCCCGGCGCUUCCACUC